rnacentral:piRNA from 1 species
UACCAAACAAUGAUGGAUAACUCCUCAUGGA